AUUGAACGCUGGCGGCAGGCCUAACACAUGCAAGUCGAGCGGAGCGGCGGACGGGUGAGUAAUGCCUAGGAAUCUGCCUGGUAGUGGGGGAUAACGUCCGGAAACGGGCGCUAAUACCGCAUACUAUCGGCUGAACCCAUAUGGGAUUAGCUCGUAGGUGGGGUAAAGGCUCACCUAGGCGACGAUCUCUAGCUGGUCUGAGAGGAUGAUAAGCCACACUGGGACUGCGACACGGCCCAGACUCCUACGGGAGGCAGAAGUGGGGAAUAUUGCACAAUGGGCGCAAUCCUGAGGCAGCCAUGCCGCGUGUAUGAAGAAGGCCUUAGGGUUGUAAAGUACUUGCAGCGGGGAGGCGUUACCCGCAGAAGAAGCACCGGCUAACUCCGUGCCAGCCGCCGCGGUAAUUC
rnacentral:rRNA from 1 species